rnacentral:lncRNA from 1 species
CUUGGUAAUUAUAUAAAACCGUUGAAUGAUAAGCAUAUAGGAGAAUUUGUUUGAAACAAACAAUAAACAUGUAGGAGAAUUAUCUCACUGAAUAUUUCCAUAGUAACGCUGGAAUACAAGGUACAUUAUUAACUUAUAAGUGCAGAUACAACACAAUACAAUACAGUACAAUACAACACAACACAACAGAGCAAUAAAAGAGGAGCCUAUACAUAUGCUAGAACUAAGCAAAACAAAUUCACG